rnacentral:misc_RNA from 1 species
GUAGUUGUUGACGAGUUGGUGAACUUGUCUUAGCUUAUAUUUCACGUUAUUCAUGCCUACAUGAGCUGCAUACAACUGCUCUAAUCGCUAGGAUGUGGAUGGACAUUGAUUUCAUUUCCAUUCAGCUGUUGGACUGUACCGGUACUGUAACAUAGUAUGGAUGGUCAAUAUGAAGCAAGCUUCAUUGAAUUCCUCCAAGAGCUCUGUACUCUGUUCUGAUUAUUUUGAAGAUGCUUGCUUUGACUGGACUGGGCAAACGAUUCGUCUUAGACAGGAUGCUGCCCCAACCAUAUUUGAUUUCCCGCCUCGUCUUAAGUAGAAAUGACCCAAACCAAGGAAUUCCUGGAAAGAAUUUCGAUUUUGCAAACAACCUCCUAGAUACUGCAAAGACACCUGUACCAAAGUCUUCAGCACCUUCAUUUCUCGAGGACCACUACUACUCAAUACCAGAAAGUCCAAGAGGAGUAAAGUGGAAGUUAACACCAAUAAUGGACUGUUAUUAAAAACUUGGAGAAGAGGCCGAAGACCACACAGAAGUCCUGUAGUGUAGAUCACAUGUACUUGCUGUUAAGUUUGGACAAACAUAAUUUGCACAACUUUACAACAAAUAAUUUACACUGUGUGCAUUCUGAUUAUUUGAAAUAGUUUAUCACUGGGCAUGUAACAAAAGUGAAUUCAUUAAAUAGGAAUG